rnacentral:rRNA from 1 species
CGUCUAAUACCGGAUACGACCUGCCCCGGCAUCGGGUGCGGGUGGAAAGUUUUUCGGUCAAGGAUGGACUCGCGGCCUAUCAGCUAGUUGGUGAGGUAAUGGCUCACCAAGGCGACGACGGGUAGCCGGCCUGAGAGGGUGACCGGCCACACUGGGACUGAGACACGGCCCAGACUCCUACGGGAGGCAGCAGUGGGGAAUAUUGCACAAUGGGCGAAAGCCUGAUGCAGCAACGCCGCGUGGGGGAUGACGGCCUUCGGGUUGUAAACCUCUUUUAGUAGGGAAGAAGGGCUUCGGCUUGACGGUACCUGCAGAAAAAGCACCGGCUAACUACGUGCCAGCAGCCGCGGUAAUACGUAGGGUGCAAGCGUUGUCCGGAAUUAUUGGGCGUAAAGAGCUCGUAGGCGGUUUGUCGCGUCUGCUGUGAAAACCCGAGGCUCAACCUCGGGCCUGCAGUGGGUACGGGCAGACUAGAGUGCGGUAGGGGAGAAUGGAAUUCCUGGUGUAGCGGUGGAAUGCGCAGAUAUCAGGAGGAACACCGAUGGCGAAGGCAGUUCUCUGGGCCGUUACUGACGCUGAGGAGCGAAAGCGUGGGGAGCGAACAGGAUUAGAUACCCUGGUAGUCCACGCCGUAAACGUUGGGAACUAGAUGUGGGGACCUUUCCACGGUCUCCGUGUCGCAGCUAACGCAUUAAGUUCCCCGCCUGGGGAGUACGGCCGCAAGGCUAAAACUCAAAGGAAUUGACGGGGGCCCGCACAAGCGGCGGAGCAUGCGGAUUAAUUCGAUGCAACGCGAAGAACCUUACCAAGGCUUGACAUAUACCGGAAACUUCCAGAAAUGGUUGCCCCGCAAGGUCGGUAUACAGGUGGUGCAUGGUUGUCGUCAGCUCGUGUCGUGAGAUGUUGGGUUAAGUCCCGCAACGAGCGCAACCCUCGUUCUAUGUUGCCAGCACGUCAUGGUGGGAACUCAUAGGAGACUGCCGGGGUCAACUCGGAGGAAGGUGGGGAUGACGUCAAAUCAUCAUGCCCCUUAUGUCUUGGGCUUCACGCAUGCUACAAUGGCCGGUACAAAGGGCUGCGAUACCGUAAGGUGGAGCGAAUCCCAAAAAGCCGGUCUCAGUUCGGAUUGAGGUCUGCAACUCGACCUCAUGAAGUCGGAGUCGCUAGUAAUCGCAGAUCAGCAACGCUGCGGUGAAUACGUUCCCGGGCCUUGUACACACCGCCCGUCAAGUCAUGAAAGUCGGUAACACCCGAAGCCAGUGGCCUAACCGCAAGGAGGGAGCUGUCGAAGGUGGGAUCGGUGAUUAGGACUAAGUCGUAACAAGGUAGCCGUACCGGAAGGUGCGGCUGGAUCACCUCCUUUCUAAGGA